rnacentral:rRNA from 1 species
AGCAGCCGCGGUAAUUCCAGCUCCAAUAGCGUAUAUUAAAGUUGUUGCAGUUAAAAAGCUCGUAGUUGAAUUUCGGGAUCAAUACGUCGGUCGUGCCUCUGGUAUGUACUGGUGUUAUUGAUUUCUCCCUUCUGAUGAACCAUGAUGUCAUUCAUUUGGUGUUGUGUGGAGUCAGGACUGUUACUUUGAAAAAAUUAGAGUGUUUAAAGCAGGCUCACGCUUGAAUACAUUAACAUGGAAUAAUGAAAUAGGACGUUCGAUCCUAUUUUGUUGGUUUCUAGGAUCAACGUAAUGAUUAAUAGGGAUAGUUGGGGGCAUUAGUAUUCAAUUGUCAGAGGUGAAAUUCUUGGAUUUAUUGAAGACUAACUACUGCGAAAGCAUUUGCCAAGGAUGUUUUCAUUAAUCAAGAACGAAAGUUAGGGGAUCGAAGACGAUCAGAUACCGUCGUAGUCUUAACCAUAAACUAUGCCGACUAGGGAUCGGAUGAUGUUAAUUUUUAAUGACUCAUUC